UACCAGCUCUCCGAGUGGUGUGGAUGUUUAUUGGGCCUAAAGCAUCCGUAGCUGGCUAAGUUAGUCCCCUGUUAAAUCCAACGAAUUAAUCGUUGGAUCGCGGGGGAUACUGCUUGGCUAGGGGACGAGAGAGGCAGACGGUAUUUCCGGGGUAGGGGUGAAAUCCUAUAAUCCCGGGAAGACCACCAGUGGCGAAGGCUGUCUGCUAGAACGCGCCCGACGGUGAGGGAUGAAAGCUGGGGGAGCGAACCGG
rnacentral:rRNA from 1 species